UACGUAGGGUGCGAGCGUUAAUCGGAAUUACUGGGCGUAAAGCGUGCGCAGGCGGUUGGUUAAGUCUGAUGUGAAAGCCCCGGGCUCAACCUGGGAAUGGCAUUGGAAACUGGUCAGCUGGAGUGUGGCAGAGGGGGGUGGAAUUCCGCGUGUAGCAGUGAAAUGCGUAGAGAUGCGGAGGAACACCGAUGGCGAAGGCAGCCCCCCUGGGCCAACACUGACGCUCAGGCACGAAAGCGUGGGGAGCAAACAGG
rnacentral:rRNA from 1 species